rnacentral:rRNA from 1 species
UGGGGAAUAUUGGACAAUGGGCGAAAGCCUGAUCCAGCCAUGCCGCGUGUGUGAAGAAGGUCUUCGGAUUGUAAAGCACUUUAAGUUGGGAGGAAGGGCAUUAACCUAAUACGUUAGUGUUUUGACGUUACCGACAGAAUAAGCACCGGCUAACUCUGUGCCAGCAGCCGCGGUAAUACAGAGGGUGCAAGCGUUAAUCGGAAUUACUGGGCGUAAAGCGCGCGUAGGUGGUUUGUUAAGUUGGAUGUGAAAUCCCCGGGCUCAACCUGGGAACUGCACUCAAAACUGACUGACUAGAGUAUGGUAGAGGGUGGUGGAGUUUCCUGUGUAGCGGUGAAAUGCGUAGAUAUAGGAAGGAACACCAGUGGCGAAGGCGACCACCUGGACUAAUACUGACACUGAGGUGCGAAAGCGUGGGGAGCAAACA